GUCGUAGUGUCAUUUCCGGGAAGAAGGUGGACCGAUACAAAAGCAACGUAACGGAACGUAAGCCGUAACGGCUGGUAACAUCGGGUCGAAGAUGACAGCGGUGGCUAUCCCCCCCGCAAUGUCCCACAAUAAUAAUGGAAUAAUACAAGUGGUGAACGAAAGUAAUUUAACUAAGAUAGAGAGCUUCCUCAACGACACGGCUUACAGAGAAGCCAUUGAAAACUCUUCUAAUUAUAAUAGUCGAUUAUGCCGGGAACGACGUCUUCGCAUGCCCUUCCUCGACUCGCAAACAGGUGUGGCACAGAAUCAUUCUGCACUUUUUAUGUCCUCGAGAGAAAGAUUACCAGGUUUGUUACAUGGUCAAAUAUACACCUAUCCAAGCAAAAGAUGGCGAAAGAAACGACGGCAAUACUUGAUGCACUAUUUGCAUCCAAAACGAGGACCAAGAGGUGAUACAGAAGAUGGAGUGGAAGGUGUAGAAGCUGUUACGCACAUAAAUGAUGAUAGCAAAGAUUCAGUAGUGCUUAAAGAUGAACACAGUAAAGACGCUUGGUAUUAUGACGAACAAGAUAUGUUAGAUAUGGAUGCUUACGAAGAACCUGAUCCUGAAAGUGAUUACGAUUAUGAAGAGAGCUAUAGUAGUAAAAGAAAACGCAGAAAAACUCGUGGAGGUGGUCACCAUCCUGCUCGUAGUCAUCCACCUUCAACAGAUAGUCCAGGCGGUAAACGAACAAAGGGUGGGGGCCGCGGACGCAAAAAAGCCAACUACGACUCUGUUGACACUGAUAAACCAUUCGUUUGUGACCUAUGCAGCGCACGGUAUAAGACCAGACCUGGUCUGGUCUACCAUUACGGUCAUUCCCACUCUACUUCCUCCGGUGAUCCUGCUAAGGAACUAAGUCCCAGUCCUGCCGAAGUUGAACCUAGGAGCGUUGCAGACACCGCUGCUUCGAACCAGCCAGGUGGUACGCGUCGGGGUCGUCAGAACACUUCCUCGAGUACCUCGAGUCCCUCGCCGGCGGCUCCAACUGCCGUAUCCGCAACUGGAGCGACGACGCAACCAUCGCAACAGUCGCAGCAGCAGUUGCAGCCAGCAUCCGCGCAGACGCCCGUUGCUCCGGCGUCGCCCACCAUCUCCGCGACCAAGGAAGAUCAUCUGCCUGCCGUGUCCUCGCCCGGCGGCACCGCCGUCCCAUCGCUCUCUUCAGGGGAGACAGUGACGGGAGGGUCACCCACCCCCGGGGGAGGUGGUGGUGGUGGAGGAGGACCGAUCAUGGAGAAGAAGGCAGGCGGCAAGUCAUCCGCGGCGCAACCGUCCCCGUAUUGCGACUUCUGCCUGGGUGACGCGCGCGAGAACAAGAAGACGGGCGGAUCCGAGGAGCUGGUAUCGUGCAGCGACUGUGGCCGCUCAGGUAAGCCAGAGGAAAAGAUCAAGCGCAAGUAUACCAGGAGAGCGAAUCACAAUUAAAACUCGAUCGGGCACUCGACGACGACUACGAUGACGAGAUACGACAAUGACGACGAUGACGAUGAGGAUAAAUGAUGGUGAUGAUGAUAAUAUUACAUUAUAUAUUCUGAAUCGAGAGACGGUAAGAGUCGUUCCGUGUCUAUACGGACGGUACUAUUUUCUACAUCUCUUUGCGAGCCUAUCGCGCACUGCGUCCUGUGAAUAUAUAGCCAGAUACAACUCAAAAAAAAAAAGAAAAAAAAUCAGGAAAUCAGUAUAUACGUCGCUAUACCCUCGAGUAUGCUUCCGCGCGACUGAGAUGUGAGUAGCAGCUUCAUUUAUGAAACGCGGGAUAUGUGACUUUAGUGAUGAUUUAACGAUACGAGAAUGGUUUAAUGUCGGCAAUAUCUGAUACGCCGGAUAUCAGCAUAUAUAGCGUUAUUGGGUACAUAUAUAUACGUGUUCACGCUAUAAUUGUUUAUACUUCCAUGUUUCAGCUGUUAACAUCGUGAAAGAUAUUGAGUAACUUGUUAAUUUUACGACACAAGCAAGCGUAACGUGCUCUUCCUUACGCAAUGAGAGGAUCGCUGCUUCCUCCCCCUCCCUAUUCGUAUAUUCGUAUCUAUAUAAUUGUUAAACGCGCAAUAUCGAGAUGUUUAGAAUUAUCUGUUACAUUUGUAAUAAUUUGAGGAUUUUCUGCCUUUCUUUUCGUUGAUGCGUAUCUAUCACGUGUACGCGUGUAGCCGUUAAAAAAAAUAUCGCAGAAACGAAAUCUGUUAUCAGUUUUGUGCAGACCAUGUUUUCUAUAAAUCUUUAAGUUGUUAAGAUAAACAGAAAAAAAAGAGAGAGGAGGUAACUUUUUGAGUUGUAUAGGGUUACAAUUGUCGCGCGUGACGCAUUUUUUUUCGUCACUGCCGUCAAGGGUAAUAGAAACGUGCUGUUGUGCAAAACUCCCUUCGGGUGCAAUAAUUAAGGAGAGAGAGAGAGAGAGAGAACCAUUCAAUUAUCUGCACGGUGUUUAGAGAUCAAACGGUUACGAGCUUUACAUACACUAGUCAAGGCGAGGAACACAAAACAUCGUUUUGUCAAUGGUGCAACUUGUCGCAUCUGAGUAAUAGGAAUUUUCCACAAUUCCUUUACUAAGCGAAUUUGCUGUGAUUUAUAGUAUUUUCACUGAUUAGUUCUAAGGGAGAUAAAAUGAAAAUCGGAGGUUUAAAACGCGUUUAAAUAUUAACGGGAAAAGAGCACGGGAAGAGAUCUUAAAAAGUCUUCGUCACAGUGAGAGAAGUCAAAAAUUUCAUCGUGUGUACGUGUGUGUGAUUGGAUAGAUUAAAUAGAGAAAAUCGAUCGACGGAAUUGACGUUUUUGAUUUUGCAGAUUUAUUAAAAUUCCUGUUGCACAGUACCACUAGAGCACGUAUUGAGGAAGAGGUGUUUGUCUUCUGUUUGACAGUGUAUCCUGAUAUUUACGUUAUUGCGUGUUGGAAAUCAAAAAAAAAAGUAAAAAAAAAAAAUAUGAAAAGUAUACACGGCGUGAGAAACGCACCGGCAAGUUUAAGAAGAUUUUUAGAGAUACACGCGAGAUGCAAUAUAUAUUAUAUAUACUUUAUAUAUCCAGCACAAUCAUAAGAAUCGUUUUAACGAAGGUAACACAUAAUAUUUAUUGUAAGAUAAUAACAUGUUGAUCGCGAUCAUAUUUCGAUAUUUCUCUCUACAUGUUUUUCGAUUUGUCCUGUAAAUACUUUUGUAUCUUUGCGUUUGUUGAGUAAUAUCAUACGAGAUUUUUUAGAGAGAUGAGAUGUGAGUUAGGAGCGCAGCACAGAAAAGGAAUGAUAAUGAAGUAGAAGAGUGCAAUCUUAAGGAACUCCGUAUAUCUCUUUCGCGAUUUUGAGAGAAUUUCGAAUAAGAAAAAUUGACUGGAUGAGAUCGAAACGUUGAUAAUAAUGUUUUAUCUAUUAUGAUAAUUUUCAUAUAUUUGUUUGACUACAUUUUAUGUGUUCAAUACAUUUACUUUUAUAAUAAUCGCGUCAAGGGUAAUUCGUAUUAGUGUGGAAUACGUUCAUAAAAUGGGAGAGACGUUCAUUAUAUAUGCGUGAAAAAAUGUUUUGUUCAACAAAGUUCUGUAUUUUGAGUAACAGCUUAUUCUCCCUUAGACAAUUUCCACAACUUUUUAUCUAAGAUAUCUUCGUCUUUUAUUAUUAAGUUACGGUUCGCGUGAGACGUAUGCGAGAUGAUACUUUAAAGCGGAGAACUCUAACGUUUUUUUUUCUUUUUUUUUACGAGAAUUUUAAUUUUAUGUGUGAAAUAAAUAGAUAAUGUCCGAUGUAAAGAUAAAAAACGCGAUCGUGCUCGUUGAUUCCCUCUUUUAAUACGUCUCUCACAUUCCAUUGUAUAUCUGCCGUUUUUAAUUACUUUUAGUUGUGUGGGCAUUAGCUUUUCUGAUCUAAUAUAGUAUAAUCGUUUUCCCCUCUUGCUAUUAUUGUCAUUUAUAAUAACGAAAUAUAUUUAUUACACGCGUAUUUAACAAGCAAGAGAAAAAUAAUAUGAGAUGAAGCUAUAGUUACGGAGUAAAAGUUUUUUUUAACUAUAUAUAAUGUAUUUUAGUUAGGUACCUUUUUAAAACGCGAUGUAUGUCAAACGUGAUCGCGCCCUUGAUUAUAUCUUUUUGUAGAAAUCUGACAUAGAUUAGUUUUGUACAAGAGCUUUGAUACUCAGAUAUCAUUUGAUUAGGAAUAAUCACAGAAUAAUAUCCCUUAUAUGAAAUUAAUGUAAUACCUUAUGAGUUUUUCAGGCACAAGGAGAAGCGCGGUGUUAAAUCUGCUUUCGAUUAGACUCGAAUUAUUUUAUAUACUUUGCUAAUUAUAGAUAUAUCGCAAUUUUAGACACAUACUUGCAUACACGCACACGCACAUAUAUAUAUAUAUAUAUAUAUAUAUAUAUAUAUAUAUGCAAGUUUAUUCACUUAUAUAUGCUGCAUAUUAGUUUUAACUCUUUACUUUUCUUACACGAUAUAUACAUUUCUGUGUAUAUACGCUGUUUUUUAUAUUUUAAAUUUCUGAAAUAUUUGAAAUAAUCUAUACAAUUGGUGAGCGAACGUCUUCUUUAAUCAUAAAGCUUCAUAUUUUUUUUCUUUUUCAUAAAGUACUUUCUAAUAUACACAUAUUAUGUAACUCGAGUAUAUAGAAGGCUAUAUUGACAAAGGUAUGUUACAGCUUCUUUAUGCAUAUAACAUAUGAGAUAAAAACGUAGAAUAUUCUAUCAUUUAAUGGUAUAGCUAAAUACGGCAGAGAGAAUAGAGAUGGAAUACUAUAUAUACAUAUUUACGUUUUAGUUUCUUGUAUAUAAAUUGAUAUUACAUUGUCCUUAGAUUGUCGUAAGAAAAACUCACAUGGUAUAAAAACAAUGGAAGCAUGCAGAUAUAUAGUUCCUCCUUGUUAUAUAUAAAAUUGAAGACUUGUUAUUUAGGCAGUUUUUAAUUAAGCAAUACCCUUAAUGAGGCUUAUAAAUAUAGUAUUUAAGUCACACUAGUUAUAUAUAAAUAUAUAUAUGGCUCCAUAUAUAUAUGAUAUAUAUAAAAAGGAUGUGAUAUACGUUAUAUGAGUUGUGUGUAUGUUAAUGUGUGUAUGAUAAAGAGAGAGAGAGAGAGAGAAAGAAAGAAUGCACGAGAGAGAGAGAGAGAAAAGGAGCGAGGGAGAGUGUGCAUCUGCGACGUUUAUAUUGUGCUGCGCAAGAAAGAACGUGAACUAUUCCAAGAUAUCAUGAAAUAAAAUAUUCUGUGCGGAAA